rnacentral:lncRNA from 1 species
CCUACCGUUUUUUCGUCCCGAAUAGGAUCCGCCUUCGCAACGCGACCAGUACCUCCGAGUUCUGAAUUUCGAACUACCCGCCGUAUCGUAUUGCGCGUGUUGAUCACUCGUAGGUCGUAUUAAAAUCAUUGGCCGGCCGUCGUGACUUACCGAGGUUAUCGUACGCCGUUGGUCGAGUGCCGGUGUCCGCGUCCGUGUCCGCGUCCGCGUCCGUGUCAGUGUCAGUGUCAGUGCCCGGUGUCAGUUUCCGCGUAUGUGCGUCGCCUUUUGUCGUCCGGCGUGGUGAAACGUAAGUACCUACUCUGCCGACGUUGACGAGUCGUGUCCCGACAACGACCGAGGGCAGAAAAAACUAUCCGACUACCGUACGCGAAUUCGUGUCCCAAGAAAAAGGGCGCGAUUAUAGCGAUUAGCUAUAGUGCCUCGAAAUUUAACCAUAGCACCGUACAAAAAAAAAAAAUUGAAAUUUUGAUCUAAAUCACCUCUGUUUUUUGCUCAUAAACAUUGCGUUGUCCAAAAAAAUAGUUCCCCCUUAAAAAAAAGUGUAUAUAUUAUUAUCAUUCCGACAUGAAUAUAAUUUAAUUAACUUUUAAUCAUGUUAAAAUCAAUCGUGAAAAAUAAAAAACUGAAAACUGUUCUGAGUUCGAAGUCAGAAAUUUGGGAAUGUAAGAUGUAUAGAAUAAUUUAAUUUAUAUCUGUACACAACGAACAAUCUCGAUUGUUUGUUCGAAGCGAAAUUCUCCAUCCACACUAUAGCAACAUGUUUUGCUUUAAAUUGAAAUACGAAUCAAUUAUACCGUAUGUCACCCUAAUGUUGUUCUAAUGUGGAUUAGACUUUACGCUCGACAUUAUUAUUAUUGUUUAAUUUUUUUUGUUUUUAAUCACUUAUUACAACUUAAACUUAAAAUUUUAAUAAUGACUAUACAAAACUAAAAAUCACCAACAUUUUUAAAAAUUUUACUACUUAUAAAAAGGGCCAACACAAAAAAGUAUUCUGUGAAAAAUUCAGACCUUAACGGUUAUAUUUAAUUAAAUUAAAGAAAAAAAAAAACAAAAUCGAAAAUAACAGAAAAUGCUAUUUUGUGAAUAUUCUAGUUUUCCAACGAGUUUUCCUGGGGUUUUUCAAUUAUUAAGACAAAUACGAAAAAAACAAAAUUUGUGGUAUAUCAACUAAAAACAAUUUUCUACCAGGAACUACCCCUAAUAAUGAUGAUUGGAGCAAUAUUUCGGGUAAAAAAGUUGUUUACAGACAGGAAAAAUAAACACACAUCGCAGUAAAAUCAAUAUAUUUCUCGCUCCGUUCAUAAUUCAAAACUUGUAACAUACAAAAAUUAUUGGAAAGGUCGGUUAAAAGUAUCGUAUCAAGUGUACCGUAUACACGAAUUCUCCAUAUUACAUUAAAAAACACAAACAAAAAUGUCCGUGUUUCCUCGCAGAGGCAUCAGUAAUUCUUAAAACGUGCCAACUUGCACGCCGAGACGAAUCUCUAAGUCCAAUUCGACAUUGAGAUAAGGUUAACCUCAACGGACGGAAAUUCUUUUUAUCGUUUUUCUUUUUAUUAAGCUGUCGAAAUGUACACUCAUUCCGAUUUAUGAACUUUGAAUACCUUGGGUCGGAUACAAUUUACUCAUUAUUGAUACUUACCCCUCCGCGCCUCCUUUUCCGUUUGACGAGUGACGAAUAAAGCCGAACAACUUACGGUAUAGCUGUCAAAAGAACCACUGUACUGUCGUUCAAAAGCCGUACGCGUUUUAUUAUUUUUUGAUCGACUACUGUGUAUGAAAUGUAAAAAAAAAAAUCGUGAAAAUAAAAAUAUCGAGUAGAUAAGUAUAAGGUGAACUCGUGGCUAUACAGAUACACGGAGGUCGUGAUUUUUCCGUUCAUGAAAAAUGCGUUUGUGAUCCGCAACAUCACCUCGCUUUAUAAAAUAUAUUUUAUGCUUUUUAUGAACUUACUCCUCUAUGGGCUAACUCCCCACCAUCAGUAAAUCGUCGUAGUAAAAACACGAAAUCUUAACCAAAAAAACUGGUCAAGUAAUAAAAUUGGUAGUGCUUUUUUUCGCUUCAAAGCCAAGGUAACCCAGAAAUCAACAAAAAUAAUUCCGAAAUAGUGUCGUCAUUAUAUUUUGUUGUCAGUAAUAGGAAUCUAGAAAACAAGUUCGAAUAAAAACUAUCGUCGGGCGAAAAUCUGUAUUCGCUGAGAUAUACGGUGUGAAAGAUUCAGAACCUUCUUGCUGACCAAAAAAGAGAUAAAAAAAAAAACUCAUCUAUAAGGGGCGAACGAUUGAGGGUUUCAAAAAACGCUCCCUCGAAAAAUUCCAUCUGGGAAAAAUGAGUAUUUUUCCGUAAAUCUGUGUCAUCUUUUGCUAAUCUAACAAUAACCGAACAAAGCUUAAUAAAACUAGCAGCAUUUUCGGUAUACUCGGCGUCUAAAAUGUAUAUAACGAGUUCAAUCGUGUGGACCGUCGUCGGGAACAGCGUUGUAGGUUUUCGCGAUCCAGUCGAGGUUUCACAUUGACGAGCUCAUCCGGACCGACUCGGGGGCGCGUCAAUGUUUUUGAACCUACUUCUCCCGAUGCCACCCCUUGUCGUCGGUAAAACUUUCCACUCGAUUCGUUAUGCACACUUACUGAAUACAAAAGCGCCGCCGUUGUUUAAUUUGUCAAGCUCGCGAGACUGGUUAAGUCUCUGCUACAGCAUCAGACGAUACGCGGGGAUCAUCGGUGUAAUGAUGAACACUAUAGGAACAUAAAAUAUAUACUUAUAUAUUAUACUAUAACAUAAACUUUCAAACCGAUACUUGACACAUAUAAUUAUUAUAAUAAAUCGUGAGGAUAGGCAAUUUCCAACGUUUUUUUUUCCACUAUUAUAACAUAAUGCUUAAAAUUCAUCGUUUACAGUAUUAUCGAAACAAAUCGCACUUUGCGGGGUUUCCGGAGAGCUCUUUCUUCGAGUGGAAAAUAAUAACACCUACAUUAUUUUUGUUAUGUCUACGGCGCGUUUUGAGAGGGUGUUUCACUCAGAAGGUAACGCGAAACCAUCCGGCCUUAUCGAUCAAAAUGGGUUUUUCCAGGCAGAAUCGGGGGGAAGGGGAGAGGUAUACCUAGAGAGAAGCAUACCAAGAAAGAGGUAUAAGUUUGGUGAAUAUCGACGAUUAUUCUUGUUUUUUUAAUACACUUUAGAUGCGGCCGGACGACUUUCGAGAUUGAAAAUAAAUUGCAUUGGUCAAAGUUGCUGGAAAUCAGCAAUGUUUGAACGAAACACACCGUAUUUUGUAUUUCUACCGUACGACCGAAUCACUUAAAACCUAUAUUAUUGUUGUUUGUCAAUCGCAAGAGUUCAAAUUAAUGAAACGGAAAAUGAAAUCGUAGCGUAUAAGUGUGGUAACAAAAAUACAUUAUAUAGUAUAAUAUGUAUGUAGGCAAAUCAUAAUAUAUAUUUUAUUUACUCGUCACGGUUAUCUGCAGCUCUGGUUGUGUACCGUUUUAUUAUCUUUAGAGCUUUUUGAUUUAGAUUGCAGUCUGUAAAUUGUAUUAUUAUUUUGACGGUCAGCUGUUUAUCCCCGCACGGUCAUUGAUUUUGCAAUAACGAUGAUGUGCGGAUUGCGGAACCGAUGCUAACGUUAAGAAAAUCGGGCGAAAAAAAAAAUCGUUUUUCUUCGCAGUUUAAUUAAAAACUGAUAAAUUAUUCAAUAAAAAAAAAAAAAAAAAAAUAGCUAAUACUGCUUGGGGUGUGUGAUUGUUUUUGGAGGGGAGUUGAACGAUAUGGUACAUAGAGUAAUUUAUUUUAUAUACCUAUGUACUGAUACAUCAUUACAAACGAAAAACUAUCCCGAGUGUUAUUAGUUGUAUAUAUUUUUUCUUGUUGUCAAAGUAACCCUCAAAUCAAUGAAAAUUAUAAAAUUAAUAAAUUACCAAGUUUUCCCAUUUAUUUAUAGAUUAAUUAUUGACCUUUGCAUCAACUAGAUCAAAAGUACUGCAAUUAAGUCCCCUUGAUGUCUUUGAUAGGAAUAUAUCUUGUAGGGAAGUUUUACUGAUUAAAACAGUCACACACACACACACACACACAUAUUCGUACACAAAAUAUAUCAUAGUAAAAUCAUGCUCGCUUCGCCUAAAACUGAGUUGAUGUUAGAUUGAAUUAACUAGGUCUAAAUUGAGCCUUCAUAUUUGUUUAAUUCAUUUUUUUUUUUUUUGGUUCUGGGCAAUGUAGAACACACCCCCCUCAUCUCUCGUAUUCAUUAAGUAAACUUUUCGCAAUAUUUUUUAAUACUAAUUUUAUUGUAUCGCGGGGAGAAGAAAAAAUAAUAAAAGUCCCAAAUGAAACGAAAUGCAGCCAUACAAUUUUUGAUAAAGUGUAUUAUGCUGUGAUGUACAGGCGAUCAUAGUUUAAAAAACAAAUCAGGAAAGGCACACGUAAAUAAUAAUUGAUAAGUAAGCACUCUAUAAUUAACACGUAUAAGUUCUAUUCGGAUAUUUUUCGUGGUUUUUAUGAAAAAAAUUGUGAUAUUGACCACUAGGUGCGUAUUGGGGAUAGUAGGAUAUAUUAUAAAUAUAUGUAGUAUAUAAUAUAGAUUUUAGAUUAUAUUAUACCAGUGUAUAUUAUGUAGUUUUGUAUGUAUACUGUGUGUAAGGAUAUAUUUUAUUUAUAUUAUAUAUAUUUUCACUGGAUAUUAAAAAAAAAAAAAAUUCUGAGUGGAGUAGUUUUUUUCCCCUUGUCGUGAAGGUAACUCGUGACAUCAACAACAAAUGCCCCAUUCUUCCCAAUUUUUAAAAAGACUACAAGGGUGAUACAAAUAAUAAGCAAUUUCACACGUGGGUGCAGCCACUACUGUAAGUGAGAAGUUGGAAAGGUAGUAGAGGGGAAAUUUAAUGGUAUAUCUGUAAUCAAUGAUAAAUCAUUGCUAACGAAAAACGGUUCUGAGCAGAGUGCGGUUAAUAAUGUUCCUUUGUCAACAAUAUAUUUACCAAAUUAUGGUAAAAUAAUUACAUAGGCAUUCUGUAUUUUCUUUAAUAAUACUUGUUUAAUAUUUUUUAUCUAUUUUCCCGUUUUUCCUGCGGUUUUUUCAUGUUUUUCCUGCAGUUUUCCCGUUUUUUUGGAAAACUAGUAAAAAAAUUAAAAAAUUACCUUUUUAAAGUACCUUUCCAGUCAGAUUUCCUUUUAGAUAAAUUGUUAUUAUUAUAAAUCAGGGCCAAAUUACUGGUGGAAAAGUUGUCCAUAGAAAAAAAAUAAAAAAAAAAUAAACAUCUUUGUAAAACCAUAAGCUUCUAUUCGCUCAACUCAAAAUCUAAAAAACCCAUCUUCUUCCAAUGCACCAAAUAAAUUCAAAAUUCUACGAGGAUGCAAUAAUUGAUUGGAAUAAUAUUUAUGGUAAAGUUAUUAAUAAAUUGAAAAAAAAAACACAUUGUAUAAAAAAAAACCAAUACAUUCCUCGCGACGCUCAGAAACUAAAAUGUAUAGUUUUAAGUAAUGGGAUUUCAAACAAGCGAUUCGUAUUUUCAUAACAAUCUCAACCGACUGUAAGUAACAAUGAUGCCUGUCCACUUUUUUAUUUUAAUGAAAUCAAAAAAAUAUAUAUUUAAAUGUGCUAUAGUAAAUUAACGUUCAUUCAAGAAUAAAGUUUUGCAGUGCGUUAAUUAUUGAUAAUUAUCAUUUAUUUUCGAACUUAAUAUAUUAUAAUACUUAGUAAGUAUACACACCACAAUAUUGUUAUUAUCAUCAGCACUAUUAGUUUUUGUUUUCUGGCGUAUAGUUCAUUACAAAUUGCGACCCACUCAAAAACAGAUAAGCCUCUAUAGGUAUAGUUCGAUGAAUAUCAAUAUUUUUUUAGGAAUUUUUUUAAUAUAUUUUUUUUAAAUUUUUUGUUAUAAAUAACAUUAAUUAAAUUAUUUUCGAUUAAAAAGUUAUUUAUAAAAAAAUAAAAUAAAAAAUGUUCCAAAAUCUAAGUAGAUUAUGUUGAAAUAAUUGCUUUUUACACUACACCUAGCUGUAAACUCAUCGCGAUUAUUUUUAUUUACUAUGAUAUAUAUUUACUUACGACGCCACCGUAUUCAUUCAUAUACUCAAUUAUUAAUAGUUGUUAAUAUUAGAAUAAUAAAUAUUGAAAUUUUUAAUUAAAAUGUUAUUAUCUACCUAACGUUGUAGCGUUACAUUAAGUUUUAAAUUUAGUUCAAAUAUAAAUCAAAAACUUAUAUUGUUUUAUACUAAGUAAGAAAAAAAAAGUUCAUCAAAACCGUUUUAUCGUAUCCUGUACCACAGAAUAUUAUCGAACUUUGCCGUCUUUAACAGAUACUCCGUGGCGAGUUAAACAUUUUGAAGGUCACGAAUCACGAUGUCUACAGAGCGAUUCACUAAUUAUGAAUAAACGAUUUUCUUGGAGAAUUUUAAACGAAUUUCAUUAUUUCUUUAUUUUUUUUUAAUCAUUAUGGAAUUAUUUAAGCUUUAUUUUAAUUUCGUAUUAAUAAUUUUUGUAAUCUUCAAUUUUAAACACAGAUUGAAAUAGUGACUAUGCUUCUAAUGACUUUGAUAUGAAUAAAAUUAAUACAACAUUUACCGUUUAUGUUUUUGAGUUAUAAGUUAUAAUUAAGCAAGGGUUAUCAAACUAUCACCUAAAAUUAACAUAUAAAUAAUCACAAAAUAAUUCCUACUUUUCUAGUCUAAAUGUUAAACUGUUAUAAACGAUGAAUUGUAUAUAUUAUAGUGUUAUAUGUAAUCAAUUUUUUAGAUAAAUAUUUUCUACUAAAAUCUGUGUUUAAAGGAGAAGGAAUGGGUUCCUAUUUAAAAAUCAAAAAUGGUUUAAAAAUGAAACUUAAAUAAUUCAUAAUGAUUGAAAACAUAAAAAUCAAAUUCACCAAGAAUUCUCCAAGAAAAUCGUUGGUUCGUGAUAAGUGGAUUGUUUUGUAUUCAUUUUUAAAUUUUUAGUGUUUUGAAAUAAAAGAUUUACACUAACAAAUGAUUAAGGCUGGUUUAUCAUACGUCAUUUAAUUUAGGUGUUUAAUGAUUCGGACGCAUGAAAAAAAAAACAACUUUGAAACAAUAUCGCUUUAAACGCCAAAACGAUAAUUCAUUUGGACCUGAAGAAUUUAUAGCACUCCGACGAUUUUUUUUACUAAAAUAGAGGUGUAGGAAAUUUAUUUGUAGGAAGGUAUUUGGGGUUUAACACCCAUUUUGAAAUAACUACAGGAAGUCGGUUAGUCAUUUUUUAAAAAUAAUGAAUUUCGCUCGGAAAAAACUUUUUGUGAAGUAAAAAUGCUGAAAAACUGUUCCCAUCUUAAAACAUGUGAAGUCUUCACACGUUAUUAAAAACAUUUUUCUAAAAAAAAAAACUGAUAAGGUUAACUAAUACGAUGAAUGUAUCAGUUUUAUUUUUUGGUGAUUUUUGGGUUACUACAUGGCUAUACGUAUACAAAACUGAAAGAAAAACACGAUAAUCUAUAUUUUCACUCCGUUCAGAAACGUUUUUCCAUUGCAAUAGUUUGUACCAUCGCUUUUAGUAUAUAUAAUAUGAACUAAACAAUAUCCUUCUUUAUCCAAUAUACUAUCCGAACUUCCCACUCGCAAUAAUGGCCUGUUCUUGGCACGGAGUAUGUAUUUACGGCUUUGUUUUUUUUUCACUUUUAUAAUUUUAUGGCGUAUACGAUGAAAUCAUUCGAUAAUUUCAAUAAACUGUCGCAGACUGCUAAUAUUGUGUCUAUGACCAAAUUAGUUCCGUCGUGAUCGUAUAAAAUGCGUAUACGAUAAUGAGUUCAGCGUAAAGUGCUGGGGCGUCGGUUCAGGGACAUCGGGAUCAUAAAAAAAACACGCUGCGAAAGUCAUGUUGUAAAAAAAAAAAAAUAAAAAAAAAUAAUAAUAACAAUAAAAAUAUAUUAAUAUUGUAUAUCCGAUCAUAUCGUCGACGGUUUAUAUUAUAUAAUAAAAAGUAAUAAAUCACUGUGUACCUAUACACCACACAAAACAAACACGGAUCCGUCUAACAAUGACGCCACGUAUAAAAAUGCAUUUUUUUUUCAUCAUUAAACGGAUUUUUUUUUAUAUCAUCUGUGUUGCACGAGCGUGUUGCCAAACGAAAAAUCGUCUCGAAUCUCUGCGGUAUUGGUUUCCCAUAAUGUACACGAUGAAUAUGAGUGUUGGUUUUUUUCUAACUGUGAAUAGCAGUAGCGGAUUUAGUUCUCUACCUAGUGGUUCAAUAUUUUUAAUAUAUAAUAUGUAUAAAUUAUUGGAAAAAAAAAUAUUUACGUAUACAGUUAAACAAAAUGUCUAGGUGGGCUCCUAUUUCCCCCCCCCUCCCCUUAAACGCUGAUUCUGGUGAAAAUGCUUUCGAGAGACUCGUGAUCUUUAAAAUUGAAAACAUCAAUGGAGGAUUCUUGUAUAAAGUUUCGAAUCAGACACGUAACCAGGUUUUUUUUUCGACGGGAAGUCCAAACAUAAAAUUUAUUAUCAGCUACCAAUUGUUUGCAGGGGAAAAGAAAUAAAAACGUAAUGGGUAGAAAAUCAAAGUGCCAUCUGUUUUUGAGGAGGGGUCCAGACCUCGUAUACUCCCUUGGUUACGUACCUGUUUUGGAUUUAUUCGUUGCAACGGGAAGACGAAUUUGUUUUAAAUAUUUCAUGUUUUACCUAACAAUUUCAAUAAAAAAUUUACGAAAACCGUCAAAAAAAUGAUUUUUUCCCUGUUGUACUCAUUGCGAAUUAAUUACAAAAACCUAGAAUUUUCAACCGAAUUACUACUAUGUAAUAUACGUGAACAUUUUCUAUGUUUCCCUUUUCGAUUUAGUUUCGGCUGUUGUUAACAAUUAAUGAAUUAUUGUUUUCGAUUUAUGCUGAUAACAAUUUUUGGUCACGUCUCGAAAUUUGAUACGGUUUAAUAGUAUCUAGCCAAAGGAAAAACAUAUCCUAUCAAGUCGAAAUUUUGAAGAAAAUUAAUUUCUAGUUAAAAAUUGCAUAGAUGGUAUAAUAAUUUUAAAAUUCAAAUUUAUUAAAAAAAAAAUCAAAUCUUUUUAAUGAGGUUCGAACUGAGAAUUAUCAGUUUGUUUUUGUUUUAAUUUAUCGUAUUAAAUUCUGUACUGUACCCAAAUUUGUUUUAUUUUUGAAUUUUCACACUUUUCGUUAACAUAUACUGGCGCGCGAUAGUGUCGAGAUCGUUCUCGUUAUGAAAAGUGUAAAGUGAAAUUUUAACUUUGCCGGUAAACUAAAAUUUAAUAUUUUCAACGGCUUAAAAAUCAUUGACAUUCUAAAUUAUUGUCUUCAAAAAUCUGCGAAAAAGUAAAUAAUUUAUGAACCUUAAAUUAUUAAAUUUCAAGUUUAAAAAAAAACUUAAAAACGUCCAAAAUUAAAAUAUUAAUUGGUUAGUAACCUUAACUUAACAUUAGACAUUUAGUCAAAAUACAACAACUCGUAAUUGUCCGUACCUAUAUAUCAUUGUAUAUUCUAGACUUGAACGAAGACGACUCUUGGAAAUAUUUCACCGUAAAAUAAAAUCGUAUUGGGUCUGUGUUGACACUGGGUUUCACUUUGUUCACGACGGUGACGAUAAUAAUAUAGUGAAAUCAAAUUUAGGUGGCUUUAUGUAUUAUUAUUACCACUGGGUAACCUCCCUAGUUAUUAGAUUCGUUGUUAUUUAUUAUAUUUCGUCAUUUAUCAAAUCUGCUCAUCGUACAUGAUUGUAUGGAUUGCAGAUUUGUUUAUUUAAUAAAAAAAAUAGAGGUAGGCAUGCAUACCUACAUAAUAUACUAUAAUAAAAGACUUCUUUUGUCUCGUCUUGCCGUUAUCGAGACGAGGGUCGCAGAUAUAUACGCGAGCGGACGUUAUUCGACUCUGACUUGAGAAUAAAACUUUUGCGGCGACGAUUCGUCGAGUGACAAAAUCGCCGCGACCGGGUCGCCUAAUCCAUUUACGACGGGGUGGUUUUUUUUAUUCUGUUUUUACACACGUACCGCUGGACUUUUCCAUUAUAUUAUUUUAAUAUACGAUCGCGAUUUAGAUAGGUAGUAGGUACGUUUCCUGGGUUUCCCGUGUAUAUUACCUCCGAGGGACAGUAUUUCCGACCCGCGUACAGAUACCAUUUGGGGGGAGGGGGAGGCGGUGGUUCAAUCCGGUAAGCCAAAAUUUAGUCAAACUUUUGUACUUACGUCGCCGCGGGCGUUAUUAAUCACUUGCAGGUAUUAGAAAAAAAAAACAAAGAAAAAAAAAGUUAUGAAAGUAUUUUCUUGAUGUUUAUAUUAUAACAUUAUAAUAUUAUGUACCUACCUAUAUUGUUAUAAUAGUGUCUACAUAGAUAUUUGUUUUUAUACAUUAUUCAUUGGCCUUUUUCGAGGAAAAAAUCAAAACUCGAAGGUCUUGUUAUUAUAUUAACGCUAGAUAAUUUUUGACGAGGGCGUCACGAAAACGACAUCCUAUUUUGGUCAGCAUUUUUUUGCCGACGAACUCUUAGGUAGUGCGGAUUAUAUUCGACGGCCGUAUAGGUGAUAUGGGUGAAUCGAUCUGUUUAAACGAGUGUUUAUUUUACCGAAAAUAUCGUUUUAGGGGUCGAAAAAGAAAACAAUCUCGGCUCUCGUUUCUACCGAUGAGGCUCCGACGAACAUUGGUUUGUUACUACGGGUGUGUGUGCCUAUUUUAUUUCGUCAAAAUAUCACGGAACAAAUCGCUAUCUAUAGUGUUAAAUUUAAAAUUUAAAUUUCGCGAUUUCAGAUUCUGAGUUUAGCAAAGAAUAGCUAUUAGUUUUACUUUUAAUAUGUUUUUUUUUUCUUUUGGAAAAGCACUUUUUUGGCAAGUAAAACAUUCGGAUUUUUUAAGCCGUACUUCAAAAGAUGCAGAUUUUUCAACUAUUUCAUUAAAGUGGUAUUUUGUUCAAAAUGUUGGUCUAGACUCCUGAUGUUUUUCUAAACGGUUCAAAAAAACCGAUAACAAACGACGAUUUAUCGGUUUUAUUUUUAAUGAUUUUUAAGUUAAUCUAAAGCUCCUCACAGAGUCGUUAUUGAAAGCAAUCAUUUAGUUGUGCUUUGAUUAUAUAAACUAUAUUGCCCAAAACAGAAGUGCGAAGUUGGCAAGUUUUGUUUUUUUUUCCAAUAACGAACGUUUCCGACCAAAAGUAUUUCUAUACUUUUCAUUUGCCGCCACCCAAACGGAUAUUAUUCAUUUUCAGGUAAAACUAUAUAAUUUACACUCGCCUAAACGACCAUUGUCCGGUUCGAGUGCCUAUUUAGGUAAAAACGGACGAGACUAUACAUCAUGAUGUUGCUGUUCGUAACAAUAAGUGCAACAAUAUUGCGUGUAUAUAGUAAUCUACAGUCUACAUGGAUAAAACGUUCUGUAUCCUUAUACGUCCAUAUAUUAUAACACAAGAGCAUAUUAUUUCAUUUAAAUGUAUUAUAUGUGUCACUUAAUAUACCUAAUAAAGGGUGAUGGUGUUUUUUUUUCGAAUGAACCAUCGGUUGAUUUCGGGAAUUUUUGUUAUGAUCUUAUGCAUAAGGUUUUCAAAAUGUUAUCUAUGUAUUAUUAUAUUCUGUCUAUAUAUAAAUACCGAGAAACUGCAAAUGUUGAAAAAAAAAACUCAGGAAGAGUAGAUAGAUAUGAAAUAUAUUCACACUGGGAUCAGGCACGGAUCCAGAAAAUACUUUUUAUCUAAUAUCUAAUAGAACAAUCUCUAACAAUGGUGGAUAAAUGGUUAGAGAUAAAAUCCAAACAUAUCCUUUCAUUCAAUGUUCCAUCAUAAAAAUAGAGGCCUAUUAUGGAAUUUUCAACUAAUCCAUGCCAUACAUUUGUUGGAUGAGGACAUAUGGACCGAUAGCUUGGCCAAUGCAUUCAUCAGAUAUGACGCCUCUAGAUUUUUUUCUUUGGGGAUAUUUAAAAACUGUAGUUUAUGCUUACCUGCCGUUUAGUCUCCAGAAAUUCAAACAAAAAAAUUACUGAAGUAUGAUGCGCACAACUGAGAAACAAACAAAUUAUGGCAGCUACGCAAGAUGAAGUCAUACGAUGUUCAGAAGCGUGUUUACAACAUAAUGGAUAAAACUUCGAACAAUUUAUUAGAUAAUGAUGACUAAUGAGUAUUUUUUGUAAUAAAUUUUUCAAAAUCAAACUAGUUUAAUAAUAAUAAAAUAAUCUUGUUUCAACUUUAACUAGCUGUAUUUCGGCUAAUUUUCGAGAAAAGGGAAAAGUCCACUAGUAUAAGUUGCUUGAAAAAAAAAUAAAAUGGUUUAUCCAUAUCAAGUGUUGGAAGCAGGUAUUUCCAUUUAAAAGAAUACAAGUGUUGUUGCGCAUGUGAACAUUGAAAUGGGAACAAAUUUCAAAAUCCAUAUAAAAUGUGUAUUUCAAUAUUUUCUAUCUUCUCUUGAAAACCCCAUUUCAAUCCGAGGUCACUGGAUAGAAAUAUUUCGUGUUUUCCAUUUGAAUGAAACGUAUUAUGUAUUAAAAUUCAUUCUCUCUAUAUUUCAUUUAUUAAUAUUAAAAAUUAAAAAAUAACAAAUUAUUAUAAAAUAAAAUACAACAAAAGCUACAAUGAUGGUACAAACAUUACUGAUUCAAUAUAGCGUUAGAGCAUAACACAAAUAUAUAAUAAUGGUUUGAUAUCUUAUCUUGAAUAGUUGUUUUGACAAAUAUCGAUAUUAUUUAGAAUUUCGGAUAUGCAUAAAUAUAAGGAGGUACAUAAAUAUAAUAUAGCAAAUCAUUUUUGUUAUCGCAAUAAUAAUACUCAAUGUCGGCUCGUCGUGUCAGUCCCGUUCACGCUGCACACAUUUAGGUGCACUCCUGCGGAAUAAACGGCAUGGAAGAGUGUUAUGCCUAUCGAGAAUUUUAGAAGAACAUUUUCUUUUCGACUAUGCGUUUGAAAUUUGAAAAAUCAAAAGUGACGUAGGUUAGGUUAAACACAUAAUAUAUGUACAUGUGUAUUAUAAUGAUUUAGUAAAACGAAAACUUACUCAAUAUAAUUGUAGAUUAUCACGAAUUAUCCUGUAUCAGUACCAAAAUUUCAAUAUUUGUGUGUGCUAAUAUUUAGAAUGUAAUUAAUUACUAUAAUAUGCAACAAUUCGUGUGAAUACUGCCGAAUCCGGUAUUAAUUUUGCCUAGACGACAUAUAAACAAAAACACACGAGGUGGUAGGAGAAAUGUUUCCACGGCAAGUGAAAAGUAUUCGAAAUUUUUACGGUGUAUAUUCUAAAAUCGUGCUAUACGCCAUUAAAAUGUAUAAACGUUUCGUUCGUCAAGAAAUUGAAUGUUAAUAGUCUUAAAGUCGCGAAAAUAUGAGUUAUUAAUUAGUAAGUUUGUCGGAACGUUGUAUUAAUACAUCGGAUUGCGCUGUCACGAAAAAAGUUUUUUGAGGAGAACAUUAACCGGCCACUUUAUCACUACUCGUUACGUAUCCAUUUUAUUCAUAACCGUGAUUGCAUCGCAGAAUAGACGGUACUUACGCACCGUUUCUUCCCAAAUCGGUGGCACACGCACGCGUACUGAUCACACGUAAUUUUUCUGCGCGCUUGUUCGUCUGGAGUCGCGAUAAAUAUAAUUAUACAAGUAUUUUUCUUGUAAGUUUUAAGAGCGCUAUUACGAACCCCGUGCUACGGAACCAGAGACGCAUGUUAUUAAAAAAAAAAAAAAAAAAAAAAUUGUAAUUUACAGUUCUCUUCCAAUAUUAGAUAUUCCGUGACGACGAGGUACGCGAUGAUGAAUUAUUAAAUCGCAUUCCUUUUCUCUGCCAUAUAAUAAUAAUUAUUACGACCAGUGUGCAGUAUUGGUAUCUACGAAUAGAAGUUUUCUUUAUUUCCGGGAACGUGCACCGACCGAACCAACUGGAAAUAAAAUCCGAUCGUUAUAUUAAUUAGGACACGGUGUUUCGGUCAGAAAUGUUGCGCAGAAAACGAAACAAAAUUAACGAAAAAAAAAAAACCUUCGAAACUUUUGAAAAUAUUAUAAAAUUCAAGUUCAACGAAUCACACCCGAAACAAAAUGGUAGGGGAUAGUAUUAAUUUUUAAACAAAUCGCAUAACGUGGUUUCUCUUAUAAUUUUAUCACGAAACGUUUGUGUCCUGUAUUGAUCCCAGAUCAAUAGAUGAGUAUUAUUUUUCGGAAGGAACUCGAAAAUAUUAAAAUAUAUGUAUUUUCCAAUUAUGCUCGUGUUAUGAUUUUUUUUGAAUUUCCGUGCUAUUUCGCAAAUUAUUUUUUGUACUCAUACAUAAUUUCAAUUUUUUUUUAGGGAUAUUUAACUUAAAUAAUAACACACAGUAAUUUUGAUCAAUAUUCAAUAGGAAAUUUACAUUUUCAAUUAUUUUCUAUCAAAUUUUAUUUGUAUGUACUAUUUAAACUCGGCGAAAUCAGAAAUGUCAAAACUAUCAAGAUCAGAAUAUUUCACCAAGGGUUGUUUUAUUGGAAAACUUCGUGAAUUGUGUAUAAUAUAUUGCAUUUUAACGAUUAAUCAAAUUAUUAACACACAAUUGCAUACAUUUCGAAAUUUGAAUGACGAGACCGAAGUUGUUAUAAAAAAGGACGUGAUAGAAUUACUUGGAGGCGGUUGGAACUGGAAAGACAAAGCAAUCCAUAAAGAGAAGUUGAUUAUAGGAUUAGCUGUGUGACGUCCCAGCCUUUAGAGGCCUGGAAACCAAUAAGGAGAUGGCGAUAAAUGAUUUCAAAAUUUGAAACUUACGAGCAAAUAUAAUCAAGUUAAAAUAAUAUCAUUAAUAUCUCUACGUCUACGCGAUAUAAUUUAAAUUGCACAACUCUGCGGGAAUAUGUAUUAAUUAAAAUCAUAAUUUUAUCAGAAUCAUUAGUUUAUUAAUCAGAAACUAUUAUAAAUUAAUCACCAUGUAGGUAUUAGGUACUUAUCAAUAAGGCUGUUCAUUAAAAAUUAAAAAUGUUAGUAGUUAAAUUAAAAUACAAGUUCAUUUUAAACAUAGAACUCAUCAUUUGAUUUUUUCAUUGACUUGACUUUUAGCUAUUUUUUAAAAAAAUAACGAGUUAGAUUUGAAUUGUAUCUUUUUUCAAUUGUUUUAAUUUAUACAAUAUUAAAUUUACGAUUCUGAGUUGAGUUCAGUUGAUAACAUUGCUUUGUCAAUUAUUUUGUUAUGCCAUUUAUUAUGGUAAAAUGAUUAAAACAAUAUUUUCUAUGACAACAAUGAUCAUUUUAAAAACAUUAAAAUAAUAAAAAACUUAAUAAUAAUAAAAAAUAAAUAAAAACGGUCGCCAAUGAAAACUUUAUUUUUAAUCUUUCAAUUUUUUUUUACCUAAAGACCGAGGUUUUCCUCAUUAUCUCGAAUAUUACUGAGAAUUUCAAAAAAUGAUCUCUCUACCCAGAGAAAAUUUUCUCUCAGAAAAGAUGCUAUACUUGAUAAUCGGAGUAUGCUUUCUGGUAGAAAAUGUGUUCACAUAAAAAAAAAAAAAACAUUGUAAAACCAAUGCAUUCCACGUUCCAUUCAUAAUCUAAAAAAAUGAAAAACUCGGAUUUAAUCAUUUUUACUUUGAAAAAACCUACAUAUUGCAGAAAAAAAUGAUUUACUUAAGGUAAACACUUCAUUAAAUUUUCCUAACAAACUUUCAACUUUGUUAAUUUAUACAACAAUCGAGUUUUUCAAUAUUAACUUAAUUGUUCAGUCUAGCCUAUUAAUUAUUAGUAAUAGUGUUGUACCGAUUUAUACUGUAACACUUUAUAUACUGAUUAACUAGCUUUGAAUUAUUUAUACAUGCAUACAUAUCGCCCGAUCUUCAUUAUAAACAAUAAUAUUAUAAUAUCGACUCUAAAAUAUUGAUUUUAUAUCGUUUCUUAUUUUGAGAAUGAUAUUUUUCUCUUUUGACCUCGAUUUCGUAUAGAGGUUUUUAUAAUAGUUUUUGACUUACGACUUACGAGUGACGUGCAAUAUGCGUAGGUAGGUACUUCUCAAAAUCAUUUUUACACAUUUCAGGUUUGAAGUGUAUCACUUACAAUAAUAUGUAUAAUAUAUAUUUAUUUGUCAAAAUUAUACUUUACUGCUGAAAUAAACUACAAUAAACUAUGGUAAAACUUUUCCGUAUGCAUAAUAUUAAAAAAAAAAAUAUAUAAGAUUAUUGUUAUAGACCCAAAGAAAGGUAGGGAAUUAAUAACAAUUUUAGUGAUACCUAAAUUCGUUCAUUUUUUUUAAAAACGCAGAAAUUUAUUUGCGCAUUUGUAUCUUAGUAGUGUGAUAAAAGCUCAAAAAUACAUUUUAUUACCAGAUAAAAUGUUGUACACGUUUCACUACAAUAAGUUUCAGAUUGAAAUUUGACGUUCAUUAUAUUUAAUUACUAACUAUGAACGACUGUACGCUCAUACUAUUUUUCUAUUUCAAAAACAACAGGGUUCUAGUUCAUUCGAAGUUUAGUUUUAUUGCAUAGAUUGUAUCGUAACAAAUUACGAUAAUCGACGCGGUUGAUCAUUUAAGAUAACUAUACAGUAUACAGUAUAAUAAUUAAAAUUUAUAAAAAUUGAAAAUUCUGUGAAUGGGAUUUUUUAUAAUUAUAAGUUCAUAGCUAUAGCUCAUUAUUUGAUUUUAUCAGCCAUUUAAUUUUUAAUUGUAGCAAUUUGAGUGAAAUGUUUUGAAUCGUAUACCAGAUAAUAUCCAUCUGUAUAUCAGUUAAUGUUGGCGCUAUAAUAGUGUGCGUAUAUGUUCGGUUUUCACUAAAAUCAAAAUUAUAAGCAUUCAAAAAGUAACUAUUAAAAUGUCAUGUACACUAAUUUAUACAAAAAAUGUGUCCAGUGUAUUGUGUUAUGGCAAACAGAGAUGCAUCUUGGUGAUGUACGAUACCACAAUUUACUUCGACUAUUCAAACUAAUUCUAAAAUAUCCAAAAUGUUGUUAGGAAAUGAAAAUAUAUAUUUUCAUAUUCAUAAUACUGUGAAAAUAUCGUGAAUUUUAGUGACGAAUAGUUUGUAAUAAUUGUAAACGAAAGACGAUUGAAUGUAUUUCGAAGUGACCAAACGAAACGAUAUUAUUUAAAAAAUUGUUUACGAUUUUGGGAUGUAUAUUUUUGCGCUUUUUGGUAGCGUUUGGGUCGUAUUUUAUGCUCAUGGGCUGUAGUCAAAAUUACCUAAAUUUAUCAUGCGUAUACAAUACAAGUAAAUACAUUCACCUUAUUGAAAAAUAUUAUUCAGUUUAAGAGGCUAUUUGUACGAUAAAAUAUUGAGGCGUAUAAUCAGUGAUAACAGCCGACCAAUAGAAAAUACUACCGCGUAAAUAAAAUAACACCCGGAAAAGUACUAUAUUGUUCGUAUAACUUUUUACCGGUGUCCCAUUGUGAGUUUUUUUUGGUUUUGUAGAAAGAGGUCGACACGAUACUAAUUUGCGGUUUAUCCAUUACGCAGCUGAGUACAUACAUAAUAUAUACACGUGUUUAUGCUGAGUAGGUUUUUUUUUUUUUAACGUUAAUCGCGUUGAACAGUUUCGACUUUUGUCAUGGCAAACAAUAUAAUACAAAAACUUACUACGCGAUUUCGUUCCGACAUAACGAUCAAAGAAAACGUAACAAAUGUUGUAGGGAAACUGGUAUAUUUUACGAAACGUCGACUAUAAUAUUGUGCGUUGUACGUAUAUUUGCGGAACUCUGUACGAAACUUUGAGAUUUACGAAAUUUCAUUGUAUUAUAUAAAUAAUAUUGCAGUAACUGCGAUGAUCAAAUUAAUUUAUUUAGUUAUUUCUUUAAAAUAUAACUGAAAAACUAUUAUUUAGAUGAACGUAUUUUUUAUCUGGAAAGAUAAAAAAGAUACAUAAUAUAUUUUUAUCUAAGUUGUGACACACAGUUAAAGGUGAAUAAGAAAAUGUAUCGAUUUUCUAAACUUAAAUAACUCAAAAUCAAUUAUUUAUUGUAAAUAUUUAGUUUAACAUUUUCUUCUAUAUUAAUUCGUUUGGUUAAAAAGUUAAAAUUAAAUUUGGUUACUUUUAUCCGGUCUAUAGAUUAAUUAAUUUGUUUAUAUUCGAUCUUGUUCUCAUUAAGUAGAGUAUAAAUUUAACUUAAUUUCAAUAUAAAACUAUUUAAAUUGAAUUAAUUAAAUUGAUAUGCUACUGAAGUAUAACAAUAAACUGCCAGAAUUAAAUAUACUUUGAAUAAACUUAGUUUAAAACAAUGAUUUAUUUAUCAACAUAUAUUCAAUAUUACGAAAAAUUAUCUAGUUAAGUAAUAUAUGUAUGUAGGAUAUAUAUUUAUAUAAAUUUAAUUGUUUAUUCAGAUUAGAUAAAAUAAUUGUUAACUAGAUAAAUCAGAACGCUAAUUACGGUUAUCGAAUAAAUAAUAUCUUAAAAUAUAAUUUCGUUAUAAUAGACAUCGAAAUUUUCUCACGAGAUUGGCAAAAUUUAUCAUUUUCGGGAAAUACAAUUACAUAAAAAGCUGAAGAAAAAAAAUACAGGCAACAAAAAUUAGGUUAAGUUUACUAAUAAAAUAUAUACUUUUCGCCUAUAAAAUAGACAAUAAAAACGUAGUGGGUGAUAAAUUUAAUGUUGGCAAACGGUUUUCAAACUAUACGGAUGUUCUUACAUAGAUAACAAUUAUUGUAGUUUUGUUAAUUACAGUUCGUUUAAAUCAUAAUAAUUACCUAUAAAACUGCAUAAAAGAAAAUUCCUCUGGACCAUGUCGUUAAAUCACUGCAUGCGAUGCAAUCAAAAACUAUUGAAAUUUCUUUUAGAUUAUAACACAAACUGAUUUUUCAACACGACUUUUUUUUUCCGGUUAGUAUUUGUUAGGAUUAUAUAUCGUAAUAAUAUUAUUAUUAUAACAUAUCCCGCUAAUAUUAUAAAUGCGAACGUUUGUUUGGACGGAUGGAUUUGUGUUGCCCCUACACGCCAAAACUACUGAACGGAUUGAUUUAAAACUUUACAUAAAUGUUGUUCUAAACCAGGAAUACUAUAUAAGCUACUUUCCCUCCACUAAAAAUUAAAUUUCUAAAAGGGCGUUGACACGGGUUUGUUGGCAUUUUCGGUACGAAAAUCGAAUUAUUUUUGUUGAUUUACGGGUUACCUGGUGUUACGGAUGAAAUAAAAAAAUAAAGUUAAAACAAUCCAAACAAAAAAAAAAUAAAUUUAAUUAAAUAUUAUUUCUUUUGGCACGGGCAAGGUGCGCGGAACAGCCAGUAUAUUGUACAACAAAUAUAUUAUUUGAAUAGGAUUUUUUUUGUCCGUGAUGUGGAAAUCGAAUUUUAUACCAACUAUCGUCUAUAUUUAUCAAUUAACAUACAGGAAAUAAGUUGUAUACCACGUAUACGUUUAAUACCUAUUAAGUUCCAGUUGUGAACUUAUAAUAUUAUACAAUCCACAUUUAUACAGAUAUACACACCUGAAUGACUUAAUCGGUAGAUAACUACAGGCACGACGAGGGAAAAUAGCCGAGGAAAAGCGUCCGGUCUAGGUUUUGGGCAGUUAUAAUAAGUGGCCGGCAUCGGUCUAGAAAAUAAACGCAACAUACGUAACAGGUUCAGAUAAAUCACUAACGCAAACUACAAAACGGGCAAUUAUUGUAUUAUAUAAAUCUAUAUAUAUAAAUAUGCAUAUAUCUGUGUAUAGUGAUACACUCGUAUACGGAAUUAAUUUAAUUCCGUCACAAAUAUAAAUGGCCGUACAGUAAUUAUUAAUUAUUAACUAUUUAUAGGCGUUUAAAACGCAAUAAAAAUCGCCUAUCCAAAUCGAGUUAAACAUACGAGCCAUUAAUUAUUUAAACCGUUCUGACCUAAUUAAUAUCUAUAAGUAUAGCUCUUGUAUAACGCAAAAUACACUUUAGAACCGUGAUCGUUGUUAUUUAUACCCACUGAAAGACGUUAAUAUUAUUAAAAUGGGUACCUAAUGGGGAAGGUUACCUAGGGCGUAAAUAUUGGAAAAUAUUUCGUCCGAAAGUAUUUUGUCGGAGAACUUUUUUUUCGGAAAAAAUAAUUAGUCGAAAACUACUUUCUAACGAUUUAUUUAUCCGAAAAAAUACAGUGCCAAUAAAAUACUUUCCAAUAAAUUAUAGCCCUCCAUCUAUAUUAGUACGACUUUUGUACAGCGACUACUGGCGUGCGCAGUGGUAAGACAUUAGGGGUUAUAUCUCCUCUUAUCAAUCGCUUGAAAAUACAAAAUCUACGAGCAAUAAUUAUUUGGUAAUUUUCUUUUAAUAAUAUUAUAAUAUAAUAUUAAAGUCAAGGUAUUUCAAGAAAUAAAGGUUGUUUUAUUAAAUAAAUGUCGAAUUUUUAAAUCUUCAUUGCAACUCAUAGAAGAAGUAAAUGUUACCAUUUACUUACAUAUCAUGAUUAUUAUUUACUACUUACGUUCCCACGCAUUCAACAUUUCUGGGCACUCCAUUUUUCGAGUAUCAUAAUAUUAUAAUGUCUGUAUCGGGCUUCAAUUGUUGCAGAGAUUUCUUACUCAAUGACGAGAAAUCCCGAAAAUAUAACUUUAGUUAAUGGAUUUUACAGACGGUAUCUUAAUUUUCAAAUGAUCUAUUAACUACUGACUGGAUAGGUACUAGUAUAGUCACAUAUUUUAUCGUUGUACGUGCUCAGUUCAUAUUUUAUAUUCCGAGCGUAGUUAUUACUGAAUAAUAGGGGAGAUUGGAUCUACGAUCUACCGAAAUUUUCACUGAAUAUAUUUUGUCGUUUUUCUAGAAUAAUUGGUAGGGUAGAACAAUUAAUAUUCAAUAAUAAUCACAAUCGCCGCAUGAUAAUUUCUUAUCGCAACAGUAGUUAAUUGGAUAUCGUUUUCACACUUUUUUCUAGAAAUAAAAACGGCUUCUAUUAAGAAACUAUUCAUCGGAUAUGAAUGUGUGAUACAUUAAAGCGUUUAGAACAAUAUCUUUUAAAAAAUGGCUAUUUUGAAAAUGUUGUAAAGUUAAUAAAUAAAGAGUUCUUUAAAGAGGUCUUUUUUUUGAUUACCCCAAUAAAUUCGAAAAACCGAGAAAAACGUAGAAAAAACGGGAAAAUAGCUGGUACAAUAAUAAAAAAAUAUCUUUAAAGAGAAUGUUUAAUGCAUAUGCAAUUAUUUUACCAUAAUACGACAUGUAUAAUAUAUAUUGUUGACAAAACAAUAUUUUGUUAAGUAAUGGAAUAUAAUAGGUAUUUAUUUUUUUAUAGAUUGAAGCGUCAUAUUUAAAGUUCCUCAAUAUUUUUAGAUUAACUCUGAAAAUAUAUUUUUUGAGUUGUGUUAGUUGUAUAAUAAAAGAGAAAUAUAAAAAUGUCCACAAUGAAUAUAUUUUGUUAACAUUUUUACUUUUGAUGUUUUCCUAUUUAUUUACUAACAUUUUCUUUAAGUACCUAGUGUAAUAAUAUUUUGUACUAUGAAUUUUUGCAAAGUUGGAAGUUUUGGCGCUGUCUUGAAAGCUUUGUCGCCGUUGUUAAUUUUACGUUUUGUUUUAUAAUAUACUUUAUACUCGGUAGAUACCAAACAAAUUUAUAUAAAAGCUUGUUUUUCGUUUACUUCGGGAACGCAGAUUUUUAUUAUUUUUCUGUAAAUUCUCUCAAAAUAGAAACUUUUAGACAAGGUAGAUUAAAUAUUGCGCUCAAUGAUUAUACCCAAAACAUUUCUCAAUAAUGUUUUCUUUACAAACACACAAGACCCGUUUAGAUAUUGAAAUACUAAAAUAUGUAAAGUGAUUACAUAAUCAUUGUAAUUUUUUUUCUUUUACAGAUUUUAUUUGAAUAUCAAAGAGAAUAAACAGAUUGUAAUCAUAGGAAAUUUGAUGCAGC